rnacentral:rRNA from 1 species
UACGGAGGGUGCAAGCGUUAUCCGGAUUCACUGGGUUUAAAGGGUGCGUAGGUGGGUUGGUAAGUCAGUGGUGAAAUCUCCGUGCUUAACAUGGAAACUGCCAUUGAUACUACUGAUCUUGAAUUUUCUGGAGGUAAGCGGAAUAUGUCAUGUAGCGAUGAAAUGCUUAGAUAUGACAUAGAACACCAAUUGCGAAGGCAGCUUACUACAGGGAUAUUGACACUGAGGCACGAAAGCGUGGGGAUCAAACAGG